AAUCUGGGUAUGUGUGAUUCAUGCAAAGUCAUAGAGGAGGUACCUGGAAAAGCAAGGAAUUGAGUGGCAUUCUCCUGAGGCCCAGAUUAAUGCUUACUCCGUUGUACAGCCUUUCCUCUGUCAGAACAUGUAUACGUCAGCGUCUGCGUGAGAGAGGGAGCACUCUUGAUCAACCCUUGAGAAUUCUAUACUCAGAAAGCAAAUACUGCCAAGGAAGAGACUUACAGUCACUGUUUGCAAACAGAGCACACUGAAGUGGAAAAUCCUUCUGAGCUAAUCUUUUUAAAGUAAUCCUUUUAAGAUCUAGAAUUAUUUCUGUUUUACUUAAUUUUAUUUUUCAACAUGCAAUUCUGUAGUUCUGAAAAAACUAUUUUAGAAUAAAACCUUAAUGGCAACGGGUAUUUCUAGGACUCUUAGUUUGUAAGGUACUCUAUAAACUUACAGCUCCAGCUGCUGGCAGAUUUUCCAGGAUUUUCUUAAACGUACAAGUAGGAGAAAACAUGAAAGUGAAAGAAUCCCAGGAAAACAUCAUUUUCUGCAUAGAAGAACAAACAAGCAAAAGCACCAGAAAAUAAAUUCAAUAAACAUUCCUAAGUUUUCUUAUGCUCUCAUAGGUUUAGAGACUAUCAAGUUCCCUUUUAAAAACCAGCCUUGCAUAAAGUAAGCAGUGUAUCAACGAUGCAUUGCUAGCUUGGCAUAGGUCACAGACUAGGCUGAGUCACAAGCUAUUAACAAACUAGUUACCUAGUUAUUGCUGAAGUCUCCUGGUUCCUCUGUGUGCCUGGCUGCCCAGAGGAAUGAGUGGACUGCUGCUCUCAAGCUACAACAUAAAACAAAUCUGCUAAUUUUGGUAGAAUUCAUUUCUCCCAUUGUCUUUUGGCAAAAUAAAGAUGUAAAUAAAUUCUUGCAGACUGAAGGACAGGUGUCAUGGCAUCUAUCUGCACCCUAAGCCAAAACUACAGGUAAAUCAUAGUAGUUGUUAAAAAUGGCUAGAGUGGUGACAAAGAAUGUAAUACUUUUACUGAGAAAUAAAUUAGAGUGGGUAAUCAGAAAUGUUUUUGUUUUGUUUUAUUUUGUUUUUCAUUAUAUGCUUAGUAUCUCUGAAGAAAACCUAAGAAAAAAUGUGGUUUGUGGAAUGAAGACCUUUUCUAUUUACCCGUGGACUUCCUUCAGUGCUUCAUAUCUGGUCACUGUGUCCAUUAACUUGUCAACAAGAAUUUUGCCACUUUUUUCUAUGGAGUGUAUUUUUUCUCAGCAGAUGAGAGCAGAAGAGAGCACCCUGACACAGUAA
rnacentral:lncRNA from 1 species